rnacentral:rRNA from 1 species
GACGAACGCUGGCGGCGUGCCUAAUACAUGCAAGUAGAACGCACAGUUUAUACCUUAGCUUGCUACACCAUAGACUGUGAGUUGCGAACGGGUGAGUAACGCGUAGGUAACCUGCCUGGUAGCGGGGGAUAACUAUUGGAAACGAUAGCUAAUACCGCAUAAUAUUAAUUAUUGCAUGAUAAUUAAUUGAAAGGUGCAAUUGCACCACUACCAGAUGGACCUGCGUUGUAUUAGCUAGUAGGUGAGGUAACGGCUCACGUAGGCGACGAUACAUAGCCGAACUGAGAGGGUGAUCGGCCAGACUGGGACGGAGACAGGGCCCAGACUCCUACGGGAGGCAGCAGUAGGGAAUCUUCGGCAAUGGGCGAAAGUCUGACCGAGCAACGCCGCGUGAGUGAAGAAGGUUUUCGGAUCGGAAAGCUCUGUUGUAAGAGAAGAACGGGUGUGAGAGUGGAAAGUUCACACUGUGACGGUAUCUUACCAGAAAGGGACGGCUAACUACGUG